UACGUAGGGUGCGAGCGUUGUCCGGAAUUAUUGGGCGUAAAGGGCUCGUAGGCGGUCUGUCGCGUCGGUCGUGAAAACUCAGGGCUUAACCCUGAGCCUGCUUCCGAUACGGGCAGACUAGAGGUAUGCAGGGGAGAAUGGAAUUCCUGGUGUAGCGGUGAAAUGCGCAGAUAUCAGGAGGAACACCGGUGGCGAAGGCGGUUCUCUGGGCAUUACCUGACGCUGAGGAGCGAAAGUGUGGGGAGCGAACAGG
rnacentral:rRNA from 1 species